GAUGAACGCUGGCGGCGUGCCUAAUACAUGCAAGUCGAGCGAAUGGAUUGAGAGCUUGCUCUUAUGAAGUUAGCGGCGGACGGGUGAGUAACACGUGGGUAACCUGCCCAUAAGACUGGGAUAACUCCGGGAAACCGGGGCUAAUACCGGAUAACAUUUUGAACCGCAUGGUUCGAAAUUGAAAGGUGGCUUCGGCUGUCACUUAUGGAUGGACCCGCGUCGCAUUAGCUAGUUGGUGAGGUAACGGCUCACCAAGGCAACGAUGCGUAGACGAGCGGAGAUGGUGAUCGGCCACACUGGGGCUGGCACACGGCCCAGAGUCCUACGGGAGGCAGCAGUAGGGAAGCAUCCGCAAUGGACGAAAGUCUGACGGAGCAACGCCGCGUGAGUGAUGGAGGCUUUCGGGUCGUAAAACUCUGUUGUUAGGGAAGAACAAGUGCUAGUUGAAUAAGCUGGCACCUUGACGGUACCUAACCAGAAAGCCACGGCUAACUACGUGCCAGCAGCCGCGGUAA
rnacentral:rRNA from 1 species